rnacentral:rRNA from 1 species
AACGAACGCUGGCGGCGCGUUUUAAGCAUGCAAGUCGAACGGUAGCAGGACUUCGGUCCUGUGAGAGUGGCGAACGGGUGAGUAACACGUAGGUGGUCUGCCACGAGGUUGGGGAUAGCCCAUGGAAACAUGGGGUAAUACCGAAUACGCUUCACACACUAUGGUGAGUGAAGGAAAGGCGCUACGGCGCCACCUUGUGAUGAGCCUGCGGCUGAUUAGCUAGUUGGUAGGGUAAAGGCCUACCAAGGCGACGAUCAGUAGCCGGCCUGAGAGGGUGAUCGGCCACACUGGGACUGAGAUACGGCCCAG